rnacentral:tRNA from 1 species
GCGGCAGUAGCUCAGUGGUAGAGCCCCCGCCUCGCAUGCGGGGAGACCGGGAUUCGAUUCCCGGUUGCUUCC